UACGUAGGGGCCGAGCGUUGUCCGGAGUUAUUGGGCGUAAAGCGCGCGCAGGCGGCCUCGCGCGCCCGACGUGAAAGCCCCCGGCUUAACCGGGGAGGGUCGUUGGGGACGGCGGGGCUUGAGGGCGGGAGAGGUCGGUGGAAUUCCCGGUGUAGUGGUGAAAUGCGCAGAUAUCAGGAGGAACACCGAUGGCGAAGGCAGGUCUCGUGGGCCACUACUGACGCUGAGAAGCGAAAGCAUGGGGAGCGAACAGG
rnacentral:rRNA from 1 species